rnacentral:snRNA from 1 species
UACUCCUAUAUAAAGAACUCUU